UGCCGGUCCCCCCGCGACGACAAGCCGUGAACCCGGUCAGGCCCGGAAGGGAGCAGCCGUAGCGGUGGACUCGGGCGCCGGGGUGUGGCUGGUACGA
rnacentral:SRP_RNA from 1 species